rnacentral:pre_miRNA from 1 species
UUUACUUUUAGACUUUUCGUUUUAUUCAAUUUUUUUUGCGAUUGAUAUUUUUGUUUUUAUUAGAUGAUAAAUUAUGAAUAGUACUUUACGUGUGACUAAUUUUUUUCUAAUUUUCUGAAAUUUUUUCAAAUAAGACGGAUGGUUAAACAUUGGACACAGAAACCGAAG